rnacentral:rRNA from 1 species
GUAGGGUGCAAGCGUUAAUCGGAAUUACUGGGCGUAAAGCGUGCGCAGGCGGUGAUGUAAGACAGAUGUGAAAUCCCCGGGCUCAACCUGGGAACUGCAUUUGUGACUGCAUCGCUAGAGUACGGCAGAGGGGGAUGGAAUUCCGCGUGUAGCAGUGAAAUGCGUAGAUAUGCGGAGGAACACCGAUGGCGAAGGCAAUCCCCUGGGCCUGUACUGACGCUCAUGCACGAAAGCGUGGGGAGCAAACAGGAUUAGAUACCCUGGUAGUCCACGCCCUAAACGAUGUCAACUGGUUGUUGGGUCUUCACUGACUCAGUAACGAAGCUAACGCGUGAAGUUGACCGCCUGGGGAGUACGGCCGCAAGGUUG